UGACCUCCUAAGGUGCUGCUACUCAUU
rnacentral:piRNA from 1 species